UCUUCACCAGAUCCGAGGCGAAUUCCAUGGAUGCAUCACUCAAAACGGUUAAUGUCAACGACUUGCUUGCCAUCACGGAUAAGAAUGUCAACGAAGGGAACUCUGUUCAU
rnacentral:sRNA from 1 species